GGUGCCUACGGGGCGCAGCAGUGAGGGAUAUUGGGCAAUGGGGGAAACCCUGACCCAGCGACGCCGCGUGAGGGAAGACGGUCUUCGGAUUGUAAACCUCUGUCUUUGGGGACGAAAAAGGACGGUACCCAAGGAGGAAGCUCCGGCUAACUACGUGCCAGCAGCCGCGGUAAUACGUAGGGAGCGAGCGUUAUCCGGAUUUAUUGGGUGUAAAGGGCGUGUAGGCGGGAGCGCAAGUCAGAUGUGAAAACUCAGGGCUCAACCCUGAGCCUGCAUUUGAAACUGUGUUUCUUGAGUGCUGGAGG
rnacentral:rRNA from 1 species